AUUAAUUAUUUAGGUAGUAAAUUUAUUGAAACCUCUAUUUUAUGGCGGCAUUUUAUCUUACUAGAGGAACAUGUUUUUUAAUCGAAAAUACACGAUCAUUUUAACUUUAUUUUAAAUUUUAUAUACCUCCGUCCCAAAUUUAUUUAAUUUUUUUAAAAGAAAAAUCUAAAAAGAUAGGUAAAGGUGUAAACUAUGAUAUAGAUAAAAUGUGUUACAUUAAAAAUAAAUUAAGAAUUAAACCUUAAAACUUUUAUGAAAAAGGAUUUAACAGUAAUAUUUUUAUAAUAUUUUAAUUUGAAUAAGAAAAUAAAUGUGU
rnacentral:rRNA from 1 species